GCCAGCCAUGCCACUCUGAACACACCCAAUCUCAACUGAUCUCGGAAGCUAAGCAGCGUCAGGCCUGGUUAGUACUUGUAUGGGAGACCACCUAGGAAUACCAGGCGUUGUAGGCG
rnacentral:rRNA from 1 species